UACGGAGGGGACUAGCGUUGUUCGGAAUUACUGGGCUUAAAGGGUGCGUAGGCGGGCCCGUCAGUCAGGGGUGAAAUCCCACGGCCCAACCGUGGAAGUCGCCUCUGAUACUGCGGGCCUGGAGGGGGAGUAGGGGCGUGCGGAACUUCCGGUGGAGCGGUGAAAUGCGUAGAUAUCGGAAGGAACACCGGUGGCGAAAGCGGCGCGCUGGAUCCCUACUGACGCUGAGGCACGAAAGCCAGGGGAGCAAACGGG
rnacentral:rRNA from 1 species